rnacentral:rRNA from 1 species
CCUACGGGUGGCAGCAGUGAGGAAUAUUGGUCAAUGGGCGGAAGCCUGAACCAGCCAAGUCGCGUGAGGGAUUAAGGCCCUGCGGGUCGUAAACCUCUUUUGCCUGGGAGCAGAGGUCCGGACGUGUCCGGGCCGGGAGAGUACCCGGAGAAAAAGCAUCGGCUAAAUCCGUGCCAGCAGCCGCGGUAAUACGGAGGAUGCGAGCGUUAUCCGGAUUUAUUGGGUUAAAGGGGUGCGUAGGCGGGCAUUUAAGCCGGCGGUCAAAUGUCGGGGCUCAACCCCGGCCUGCCGUCGGAACUGGGUGCCUUGAGUGGGCGAGAAGUAUGCGGAAUGCGUGGUGUAGCGGUGAAAUGCAUAGAUAUCACGCAGAACCCCGAUUGCGAAGGCAGCAUACCGGCGCCCUACUGACGCUGAGGCACGAAAGUGCGGGUAUCGAACAGGAUUAGAUACCCCGGUAGUC